AGAGAGACCGAGAGCUCCCAGAGAACCCGGACUCCGCCAUCUUCACGUUGCAAUCUAUAGCUCCCAGUCCGCGCCCGCACCGACCCAGGCGCACUGGGCGAACCGCCCCUCCGCCCCGCUCCCCCCGGGCCCGCGGCGCCAGGGGAGCGCUGGGGAGCGCUCGCGGGGACCCGGCAGCUCCUCCGGCCGGCGCCAGCCUGCCAGGUGAACUGGGAAGGAGCCGCUCCUGGAGUCCCCCCAGAGCCUCCGAAGGAAGUGCGCUCUCCACCUACCAGCCCCUGAAGGAAAGUGUAAGGAGCCGGUGCAAAAUCCGGCUGAAGUUCAAGAAGACAUUUGGAAGGCCAAGCGGCCAAGCAGUCUGAAGAAGUCUAGGAGAUUUUUUUCCUUGAAAAGAAUAUAUUUUUAAGGAAACCAGUCAGUCCGCGGCAAGCAACAGCAGCUUUUUUUUUUUUUUUUGGCCUCUUUCUCCUAAUUGAGAUCGAGAGCCUUUUCUCUUUUUGUUUUUCUUUUCGCAACAAAACAAAAACAGCCUAGAAGAAGGAGCAAAA